rnacentral:piRNA from 1 species
UGUGAGCAAAGACCGUGAGGCUGGAGGC